rnacentral:tRNA from 1 species
CGGCGGUCGGGGCUCGGUGAUACUGACCUCCUUUGUGGAGGUUGCAUGGACAGCUUCGUGCUGGUCGGGGGUUCGGGCUUCCUCGGCACCGA